rnacentral:rRNA from 1 species
AGCCAGACUCCUACGGGAGGCAGCAGUGAGGAAUAUUGGUCAAUGGGCGGGAGCCUGAACCAGCCAAGUCGCGUGAGGGAAGACGGUCCUACGGAUUGUAAACCUCUUUUGCCGGGGAGCAACGGGGUCCUUGCGAGGGCCCAAUGAGAGUACCCGGAGAAAAAGCAUCGGCUAACUCCGUGCCAGCAGCCGCGGUAAUACGGAGGAUGCGAGCGUUAUCCGGAUUUAUUGGGUUUAAAGGGUGCGUAGGGGCGCGCUUAAGUCAGGGGUAAAAUUGGGGGGCUCAACCUCGCUCCGCCGUUGAAACUGGCGUUCUUGAGUGGGCGAGAAGUAUGCGGAAUGCGUGGUGUAGCGGUGAAAUGCAUAGAUAUCACGCAGAACUCCGAUUGCGAAGGCAGCAUACCGGCGCCCAACUGACGCUGAAGCACGAAAGCGUGGGUAUCGAACAGGAUUAGAUACCCUCGUA